rnacentral:rRNA from 1 species
CCUACGGGGGGCAGCAGUGGGGAAUAUUGCACAAUGGGGGGAACCCUGAUGCAGCGACGCCGCGUGAGUGAAGAAGUAUUUCGGUAUGUAAAGCUCUAUCAGCAGGGAAGAAAAUGACGGUACCUGACCAAGAAGCCCCGGCUAACUACGUGCCAGCAGCCGCGGUAAUACGUAGGGGGCAAGCGUUAUCCGGAUUUACUGGGUGUAAAGGGAGCGUAGACGGUUAUGUAAGUCUGGAGUGAAAGCCCGGGGCCCAACCACGGGACUGCUUUGGAAACUGUGUAACUGGAGUGCAGGAGGGGUAGGCGGAAUUCCUGGUGUAGCGGUGAAAUGCGUAGAUAUCAGGAGGAACACCGGUGGCGAAGGCGGCCUGCUGGACUGAAACUGACGUUGAGGCUCGAAGGCGUGGGGAGCAAACAGGAUUAGAUACCCCAGUAGUC